GAGCUAGAUGGAGAGUUAGCGGUGCUCUGUAACCCACAAUCCGCUACAGUGGGGUUGAAUGCUUGUGAGCGGUUUAAAUUUUGUAAAUAUGUGCAUGCGCUUUUGGCGUUGAAAUCAAGGUCUUAUGCAAUUGAAAUCCUUGAACCAUGUCAGAGCUUGACGGCAGCAUCAUUAAGAGGACACUUUGAUGUGCCAUGAGGAAACUUUGGUGGAGCUAAAAACGUG
rnacentral:SRP_RNA from 1 species